GAAAAGUUAUUGCAAUAAUUUGUGCAGAUAAAUAAGAAAAGUAAAUUUUAUUUUAAAAAUUUCAACGAUAAAAAUAUGACAAUAAGGCGGCAAGUAAAGGGGAGAACCUAUCGCGGGAAUAAAAGACAUUUCGUUUGCGCUAACACGAGCUUCAAUAAAAACUCAAUUUAUAAGACAACCUUCGACCUCGCUAAAUGGCUCGCAGCUAUCUUUGCCAAGUUUCAACGUCGAAUUCCAAUAUGAUCGUCAAUAUAAACGGCAAAGUUUACAAUAAUUUUGACUAAAAUGCCAUGAAAAUUGAGCUGAAAACCUG